rnacentral:lncRNA from 1 species
CGAUGAAGAGGAGCCAUAUUUGUUGCAUGCAUAAAAAUCCAGUUAUGCUCAAAAUGGAACAGUAUUUCAAUAGUGUAUUAUGAUUUUUUAAAAAUUUGUAGAGUCCCCUGUACAGUCUAGAAAUUUGAAACCUUGUCUGAGAGGGAAUUUAAGUUUAGUGAUUUGAAGAACAAACCACAAAUGCACAAACCUUUGUGUAUUUUAGAAUAUAUUUGUCUUCGUCCUGCGGUAGCUCGUGUGGUGUUGUGGAGGUGAAGAUCUACGUAAAAAUAGUGUUGGGCAGAUUUACGUAGUACUUGUAAAAUCACAGGUAACUUACAAGAUUAAAAUUAAAUUUGAUUGACGAUGAUUCUGAACAAAUAUGCUGUUUAUUUGAGGUAUGCCAUUUUGAAGACUGAGACCAUGGAAUUUUGUCCUUGAGGAUAAAUCUUUGUGAUAGUCUGUAUUUUGUAUAGCAAGAAUAUGAAUCCUGAAGCUGAAUUACCUAAGGGGCCUCUACGGUGAAGUGAAAUAGAUGUUGGUGGAAGCAUUUACACCCAGUCAGCUUGAAGAGUCUCAAAUGGACCCUACCACUGAGAAAUCAAGAUGGCAGUCCACUA